rnacentral:rRNA from 1 species
GACGAACGCUGGCGGCGUGCUUAACACGUGCGAGUCGAACGGAAAGGCCCUGCUUUUGUGGGGUGCUCGAGUGGCGAACGGGUGAGUAACACGUGAGUAACCUGCCCUUGACUUUGGGAUAACUUCAGGAAACUGGGGCUAAUACCGGAUAGGAGCUCCUGCUGCAUGGUGGGGGUUGGAAAGUUUCGGCGGUUGGGGAUGGACUCGCGGCUUAUCAGCUUGUUGGUGGGGUAGUGGCUUACCAAGGCUUUGACGGGUAGCCGGCCUGAGAGGGUGACCGGCCACAUUGGGACUGAGAUACGGCCCAGACUCCUACGGGAGGCAGCAGUGGGGAAUAUUGCACAAUGGGCGGAAGCCUGAUGCAGCAACGCCGCGUGCGGGAUGACGGCCUUCGGGUGGUAAACCGCUUUCGCCUGUGACGAAGCGUGAGUGACGGUAAUGGGUAAAGAAGCACCGGCUAACUACGU